rnacentral:tRNA from 1 species
GGUCUUAUAGUGGAAAUCAAAGACGUUAGAUUGCAAAUCUGAAGAUGUAUAAAUAUACUGAGACUU